CUUCAUGACAACAAGAUAAUCUCAAGGGAUGCUAUUAUUCGAAAACUUGGUAGUGGAAUGAGUACUUCUCUUUAGAAAGAUCAGUGGAUUGGUGAUGAGUACUUCUCUUUGGAAAGAUCAGUAGAUUGGUGAUAGUCCUUUGGUGGUGUGGUUUUCUAGACUUUUUAUAUUCGAGAUUGAUAAAGAUUGUUACACUAAUCAAAGAUGAAAUGGGGUUGACUGGAAUUAAAAUUGGUCUCUCCUAGUGGAUGGGAGAUAAAUGGGUGUGAGAUGUUGGCAGUUUUGAUGAGUUCAUGGUUUCAGAGUCAUUGAUGAUAUCUCUAUUCUAGAUGGUUAUCAUUCCAUUGGAUGAAAUAAAUAUGUUCCUCGUAAAGUAAAUAUUUUUUUAUCGGAGAUGUGGUUUAAACAGGUUGCCAAUUCAUAUGAAAUUGGUUUAUAAAGGUGUAGGUGCCCCUUCUUUGGUUUUUUUCUAUUUGCAACGUUGAUAUGAAAGAUAUAUUUCAUCUUUUCAA